UACGGAGGGGGCUAGCGUUGUUCGGAAUUACUGGGCGGAAAGCGCACGUAGGCGGCUUUGUAAGUCAGGGGUGAAAGCCUGGAGCUCAACUCCAGAACUGCCUUUGAGACUGCAUCGCUUGAAUCCGGGAGAGGUGAGUGGAAUUCCGAGUGUAGAGGUGAAAUUCGUAGAUAUUCGGAAGAACACCAGUGGCGAAGGCGGCUCACUGGACCGGGAUUGACGCUGAGGUGCGAAAGCGUGGGGAGCAAACAGG
rnacentral:rRNA from 1 species